rnacentral:tRNA from 1 species
GGCUUCAUGGCUUAGAUGGUUAAAGCACCUGUCUAGCAAACAAAAGGUCCUGGGUUCAAGUUCCAGCAAGGCCU